GAUGAACGCUGGCGGCGUGCCUAAUACAUGCAAGUCGAGCGAACGGACGAGAAGCUUGCUUCUCUGAUGUUAGCGGCGGACGGGUGAGUAACACGUGGAUAACCUACCUAUAAGACUGGGAUAACUUCGGGAAACCGGAGCUAAUACCGGAUAAUAUUUUGAACCGCAUGGUUCAAAAGUGAAAGACGGUCUUGCUGUCACUUAUAGAUGGAUCCGCGCUGCAUUAGCUAGUUGGUAAGGUAACGGCUUACCAAGGCAACGAUGCAUAGCCGACCUGAGAGGGUGAUCGGCCACACUGGAACUGAGACACGGUCCAGACUCCUAAGGGAGGCAGCAGUAGGGAAUCUUCCGCAAUGGGCGAAAGCCUGACGGAGCAACGCCGCGUGAGUGAUGAAGGUAUUCGGAUCGUAAAACUCUGUUAUUAGGGAAGAACAUAUGUGUAAGUAACUGUGCACAUCUUGACGGUACCUAAUCAGAAAGCCACGGCUAACUACGUG
rnacentral:rRNA from 1 species